ACUUGGACGUGCAUUAUUCCA
rnacentral:miRNA from 1 species